rnacentral:rRNA from 1 species
CACGUAGGGUGCGAGCGUUGUCCGGAAUUAUUGGGCGUAAAGAGCUCGUAGGCGGUUUGUCGCGUCGUUCGUGAAAACUCACAGCUUAACUGUGAGCUUGCGGUCGAUACGGGCAGGCUAGAGUUCGGUAGGGGAGACUGGAAUUCCUGGUGUAGCGGUGAAAUGCGCAGAUAUCAGGAGGAACACCGGUGGCGAAGGCGGGUCUCUGGGCCGAUACUGACGCUGAGGAGCGAAAGCGUGGGGAGCGAACAGG